UCCCUGGUGGCUCAAACAGUAAAGCAUCUGCCUACAAUGCAGAAGACCCAGAUUCAAUCCCUGGGUAGGGAA
rnacentral:tRNA from 1 species